rnacentral:rRNA from 1 species
AACGAACGCUGGCGACAUGCCUAACACAUGCAAGUCGAACGAGACCUUCGGGUCUAGUGGCGCACGGGUGCGUAACGCGUGGGAACCUGCCCUUAGGUUCGGAAUACCUCCCCGAAAGGGGUGCUAAUACCGGAUAAUGUCUUCGGACCAAAGAUUUAUCGCCUUUGGAUGGGCCCGCGUUGGAUUAGCUAGUUGGUAGGGUAAAAGCCUACCAAGGCGACGAUCCAUAGCUGGUCUGAGAGGAUGAUCAGCCACACUGGGACUGAGACACGGCCCAGACUCCUACGGGAGGCAGCAGUGGGGAAUAUUGGACAAUGGGCGAAAGCCUGAUCCAGCAAUGCCGCGUGAGUGAUGAAGGCCUUAGGGUUGUAAAGCUCUUUUACCCGGGAUGAUAAUGACAGUACCGGGAGAAUAAGCUCCGGCUAACUCCGUG